GGCACGGAUCCCGAUUGGCAAGCGAAGCAAGCUAGCAUCUUGCUGAUCGUGGGUUCGAUUCCUACCGAGGGCCG
rnacentral:tRNA from 1 species